rnacentral:rRNA from 1 species
UACGUAGGCAGCGAGCGUUGUUCGGAGUUACUGGGCGUAAAGAGUGCGUAGGCGGUUUUCUAAGUUUGGUGUGAAAUCUCCCGGCUUAACUGGGAGGGUGCGCCGAAAACUGGAAGGCUUGAGUAUGGGAGAGGUAAGCGGAAUUCCUGGUGUAGCGGUGAAAUGCGUAGAUAUCAGGAGGAACACCUGCGGUGUAGACGGCUUACUGGACCAUAACUGACGCUGAGGAGCGAAAGCGUGGGGAGCAAACAGG